rnacentral:lncRNA from 7 species
CCACCGCCACACGCCGAUGCCGCCGAGCGUCUCUCCGAGAUCCCCAGCGCUGCGAGCCCGCUGCCGCCGCGGGGAUCGCUCGGCCUCCGCCGCGGAUCUUCCCGGAGAUUGAGUGACUCCUCAUAACAACAGUAAAAAAGCAGAGGAAAUGAAACCUAAGCUAACCUGUGGUGUUGCAAGCCAAAUGAAAGUCCUGCAAUGUCUGGAACCCUCAGUAUUUUCCAUUGCCACAUCAACAGCUGCUAGCAAAUGCUCAGCCUUUUAUCAAGUGCAUGGUUCUCUGCUGCUGUCCCCAGUCGGCCCACUCCGCGAGGUCACAUCUGAAACAUACACCUCUCACUCUGUGAAUUGUCCUUCCCCCAUUCUGGUAACUAACCUCAGCACAGAUCUAUAUCAACUCAAAUGAAAGAUGUGAGUGACAGCAAUAUCUAGGUGUAAAUCUCCCUGCAUAUACCAAUUUUGGGGUAGUAGAUAAAUUCAAUAAAUCAAGAUUAAUUACUGAAAUACAAAAAAAAUAAAGUCACCAUCAGCUUCAAGUAGACAAUGUUUGUUUUAAAUCAUACUCUGGUAGUUGGAUUCAAAUGUUCUGUUUUAAUUAGCUAUAGUGCAAGGGUACUGAAGGAGAACAGAUGAUUCUUUUCUUACGUGCAGAUAAAAACUGCAAAUGCUUCUUGCCAUUUGUCAUUUUUUGAAAUAAAGAUGCUUCAAUUAUUCUCC